rfam:Salmo salar isolate Sally breed double haploid chromosome ssa16, whole genome shotgun sequence.
UGACGUGUUUGGGAUUCCUAACGGAAAUAUGCACUCAGCAUCAUUUCCCCCUCGACAGCUUCCUUGUAGGGUACAUAGUGGUCAUCAUGUAACCAAUUAGACAAGAUAUGUCUCAAUUUGUUCUGCUGUUGGGGCCAUGGUGUGGCCGGAAGCUUUGGCCCGAGCAAGCGUAGAUAUACGCAGCAGCACUCUGUUAAAUUGAUGAGCUGAGAUAGUUUCUGACUCCACCAUCUGGAAUUCUAGUCUGGGGUUCUGCUAAAAGCUGCUGACCCACGUUUCAACUCUUAAACUCGG